rnacentral:ncRNA from 1 species
GUUUUCUGUUUUCAUGAAAUAAAAAUACUGAAAAUUUAUCAUAUAUUGACUUCUUGUUCGAUGGACAACAGGUGAAUAUUCCUAUACUACCCUUUGUUGGUCCCGAGGGACGGAGGAGGCUAGGUUAGCCGAAAGAUGGUUAUCGGUUCAAGGACGCAAGGUGCCCCUGCUUUUUCAGGGUAAUAAGGGGUAGAGAAAAUGCCUCGAGCCAAAGUUCGAGUAUCAGGCGCUACAGCGCUGAAGUAAUCCAUGCCAUACUCCCAGGAAAAGCUCGAACGACCUUCAACAAAUGGGUACCUGUACCCGAAACCGACACAGGU